UGCCAGGUUGUGUGAAGCCGUGUGCUUGUGAAGAGAAAAAGGGUACAUCCGAAGAGGAGACCAUGCGGCCCAUCAGAGCUUGCCCGGUUCCUAGCAGCUGUCAAGUCGGUUCUUAAAGGAUCCAAGUGAUUUUGCCCCAACAGCAUGGUCAGGUGAUGUUCGUCUGCUGGGGGUUUGCAUAGCGGCUGUGGUUUCCAGUACGAAUGCAGUUAAUUCCCAACACCAGCCCAGCAACAGCAGGGAGAAAUGCAUCCAGUAAUCCUGUUGGAAAACCUGACGUUGCC